rnacentral:lncRNA from 1 species
UCGGUUAAUUAUUUUAACAGAAAAAAAGCUCAAUUCAACUAACGGUUUAGUGCAAAAUGAACUGCUUAUUUCUCAAGUCAAAACCCGGCAUCCCUUUUGCUGCUUAUUUCUCAUCUUUUGCACCAGAUCUCACUGUUCUACCGUCCAUUCAUCAUAAUUCCACUUCCUUAAUACCCCUAAAACAAAUUAAAACCGUUAGUGCAAAAUGAACUGCAAGUAUCACAGUCUUCCUUUAGUAAAGAUAGUAAUAGAACAAUAUGAAGAAUAAAAAUAACCCAAGGCACGCACAAUAAAAAUGAAUCUUAAAACAGCUCGAUACGAGUGACUGGGAUAGCAAAUCCAUAUCGACAGUUAAAUGCAAAACCAUGAAGUCACAGGAACGGAAGAGAUCUCAACAAGUUCGCAUCAAAAAUAACAUUGAAAUGCUCUCUGAUAACCAACCAACGAACACCAAGCAUACUAAAAAAGAAAUUAUCUAGGACUAAAAAUAGCUACUGGAUGGGAAACAUUGUCCCAUGUCUAGAUAAGCCUUUUUGAAUCGUGUUCAUAUUAUUCAGGUUAAGAUACACAAUCAAGCAACAAUAAACAGAAGACAAUCUCAAUAAGAACAUGGAUGGGACAGUCCACCAUUCUUUGAAAAAGUAUAGUACUACCGGUUAACCAAGAAAAGUAUCCAAUUUUUGGUUUUCUUUUCCUUGUUUCAACUCCGAUCAGACUACUUUCAAACCAGAAUUUGAGAUAAAUACAGGGAACCACACAAGUAAAAGGAAGAAGUACGAAAAGUUACAAACAAGUUGCCUAACCAAGUCAACAGAAAAAUGUACACUUCAACAACAGACUUCUAUGCCAUUUGAAUAAUAGUCCAUAAACUCAACAGUCAAAAACACCAGAAACAAAAAUAAUUACACAAACCCGACAUGAAAGAUCUUCACAUUUUCAUUUAGAAACUCACAGUCUCACAAAUUCUAAGAAAGAAUAGAUCAAGAUUGCAAAGCAAAAGU